UAGGGAAUCUUCCGCAAUGGGCGAAAGCCUGACGGAGCAACGCCGCGUGUGUGAUGAAGGUUUUCGGAUCGUAAAACUCUGUUAUUAGGGAAGAACAAAUGUGUAAGUAACUAUGCACGUCUUGACGGUACCUAAUCAGAAAGCCACGGCUAACUACGUGCCAGCAGCCGCGGUAAUACGUAGGUGGCAAGCGUUAUCCGGAAUUAUUGGGCGUAAAGCGCGCGUAGGCGGUUUUUUAAGUCUGAUGUGAAAGCCCACGGCUCAACCGUGGAGGGUCAUUGGAAACUGGAAAACUUGAGUGCAGAAGAGGAAAGUGGAAUUCCAUGUGUAGCGGUGAAAUGCGCAGAGAUAUGGGGGAACACCAGUGGCGAAGGCGACUUUCUGGUCUGUAUCUGACGCUGGUGUGCGAAAGCGUGGGGAUCAAACAGG
rnacentral:rRNA from 1 species